GUGCGUGAUCUGGAGCGCAUGGAAAUUCUAGGAGACGCGGCCGAGGUGCUUCACAUAUCCUCUGUUGGGGUUCACUCAAAGCCUGCUUGAAAGACCUUCUCCACAGAAUGCAGAUCACGAGUAUCACACAACAGGUUUCCUGUAAAGACAACAAUGCUGCGAAAUUGGAGGAUAAUGAUACAACUACAAAAAUUAAAACUAAUGGUAUAUGGUACUUAAACUGCCGUAUGAAAACAAGUGUUGUUCAUAAUUGUGGCAAUUCUAGACUUACACAAACAAAGAUGUUUAAGUCAUCAUAGAAGGGGAGUGGUUACAACGUACGUGGCUGAGUGAGUGAAUAUGUAAAGAAUAAUAAUGUAGGUUAACAUUUCUCUCAAAUAUAGUAUCAGUAAUAAGACUAGUCGCGAGAGAACGAAAGUAACCGACUUGCCCGUAGAACCAGCAUGUUGAAGUGCAGUGGGCUGAUCACAUAUGUCGCAGGGCUGAUGGCUGCUGGAACAAUCGUGUCCUGCAGUGAAAACCGUUGGUAAAAGUAGUGUGGGAUGUCCUCCGACUGGCUAGACCGACUGUCUACUUAAUAUUGCCGAUGGAGGCUGUAUGAGGAUUGCAGACGACCGGAAUGUUUGGC
rnacentral:misc_RNA from 1 species